rnacentral:misc_RNA from 1 species
UCCCCGUUCACCGGGGCAGUCCCCUCAGAGUGCCCAGCCUAACCUGCUGGCAACAGAGGGCAAGGGUUGCGCUCGUUGCGGGACUUAACCCAACAUCUCACGACACGAGCUGACGACAGCCAUGCAGCACCUGUGCAUCGGCCCCGAAGGGAAGACAGCUUUCACUGCCAGUCCAAUGCAUGUCAAACCCAGGUAAGGUUCUUCGCGUUGCGUCGAAUUAAACCACAUGCUCCACCGCUUGCGCGGGCCCCCGUCAAUUCGUUUGAGUUUUAGCCUUGCGACCGUACUCCCCAGGCGGAGUGCUUAAUGUGUUGACUUCGGCACCGCAGGGGUCGAUACCCGCGACACCCAGCACUCAUCGUUUACGGCGUGGACUAC